CAGUCGCCACGGGAAUACGAAGGGUGCGAGCGUUACUCGGAAUUACUGGGCGUAAAGCGUGCGUAGGUGGUGGUUUAAGUCCGUUGUGAAAGCCCUGGGCUCAACCUGGGAAUUGCAGUGGAUACUGGGUCACUAGAGUGUGGUAGAGGAUAGUGGAAUUUCCGGUGUAGCAGUGAAAUGCGUAGAGAUCGGAAGGAACAUCUGUGGCGAAGGCGACUAUCUGGGCCAACACUGACACUGAGGCACGAAAGCGUGGGGAGCAAACAGGAUUAGAUACCCGCGUAGUCCCUGUCUCUUAUAC
rnacentral:rRNA from 1 species